CGGGCCGUAGCGCAGAGGUCGACGCGUCGUACUUCCCAGACGAAGGACGCCGGUUCGAUUCCGGUCGGCCCGC
rnacentral:tRNA from 1 species